rnacentral:misc_RNA from 1 species
GCCACGCAGCUUUCAUGCGCUAUCAACUACCUUUUUCUUUCGUUUUUUCUCCUCCCUCCAAGUUCCUAUAUCUGUGUGCGUGUUCGUCGUUUCCUGUACCACUUUUGAAUGGCGCUUGCAUCUGCAGGACGGCUGCGUCGACGCUAUCGGUCGGCGUCCUCUUCCAUUCUCUCAGACCCCUCAACGUGCGAUACCGUCUUCCUCUCUCGUCCGAGUAUAUGUCGUUUGUUUGUUGGCUUGCCUUUCGUAGAUCUCUCGACGGGUUCACGCGUUCCUCAUCCUUCCUUUGUGGCUUGCUUUAACUUACGACGUGCCUGCGAACACAUGCGCAUCUGCGCCGCAUACUUACUCUCACGCAUGAACCUCUUCUCUGUCGCUUCUCUUCUCCGGGCUCCGUGGCAACUCACGCUGCUUUGAAAGCGCAAAAACACACGUGCGCACACACAAGGAAAACGAAAAGGGGCGCCAUACACCAACGCAUGGAUCCCUCCCACACAUGCAUGCGCACAAGCACGGACAACCAGAAACAGAAGGAAAAGGGAAACAUCAGCAACAGCCGCCAAGUGGGGCCUUACUCGGCGAUCGACACUCGGCUGUCUCCCUGCAGGGGAGGCAGUGAGUGGGUGGGGUGGGUAUGGCUGGUGGCGGGCGUGUGUGUCAGCGUCCCUCGUGCGCGGUGCUCACAGCGCUGCGCCCCUCUUUUAUUCUCACAGGCACGUGCGUUGACGCUUUCAUGUCCUUCCCAGCUCCCCCACAGCUCUUUUAUAGUUGCCACCCGUCCGCGUUGCUGUGCCGACGCAUGCAUGCGCUGGUGUGUGUGUGUGUGUUUUGGCGUUUGCCUAGCGCCGCUUGUUCGCACCACCGCUCAUCCUGUUUCGCUUUCUCUCCCCUCUCCUUCUUUUUGAUCUACGGCGGACCGCUAAUAAUCACUCAG